rnacentral:lncRNA from 1 species
GGACACAAUGAAAAAAAAAUAGAUAUAGAAGAGGGUGAAGAUUCCUAAAUUAAAGAGCUAGUAAAUAUCUUCAACAAAAUUAUAGAAGAAAACUUCCCUAACCUGAAGAAAGAUAUGCCCAUAAACAUACAAGAAGCCUACAGAACACUAAACAGAUGGGACUAGAAAAGAAAUUCCUCCUGUCACAUAAUAAUUAAAACACCAAAUGCAUAGAACAAUGAACGUUGAAAGUGGUAAGGGAAAAAGGCCAUGUAACAUAUAAAGGAAGACUCAUCAGAAUUACACCAGACUUGUCAACAGAGAUUCUAAAAUCCAAAAUAUUCUGGGCAGAUCUCAUACAGACCCAAAGAGAACAAAAAUGCCAGCCCUGGCUACUAAACCCAGGAAAACUCUCAAUUACCACAGAUGGAGAAACCAAGGUAUUCCAUGACAAAACAAAUUUAAACAAUAUCUUCCCACCAAUACAGCCCUACAGAGAAUAAUAGAAGGAAAACACCAACACAAGGAGGGAAACUACACCCAAGAAAAAGCAAGAAAUUAAUCUUUCAACAAACCCAAAGGAAGAUAGCCACACACACAUAAUUCCACCUCUAACAACAAAAUAACAGUAAGCAACAAUCAUUGGACCUUAAUAUCUCUCAACAUCAAUGACUCAAUUCCCUAAUAAAAAGACAUAGACUAACAGGCUGGAUAUGUGUACAGAAUCCAGCAUUUUGCUGCAUGCAGGAAACACACCUCAGUAACAAAGACAGCCACUAAAAGUAAAGGCUUGAAAAAUUUUUCUAGGCAAAUGGUCCCAAGAAACAAGUUGGAGUAGCCAUUCUAAUAUCCAAUAAUAUAGACUUUCAACCAAAAGUUAUCAGAAAGAUGGGGAAGGACACUUCAUUCUCAUCAAAGGAAAAAUCCACCAAGAUGAACUCUCAGUUCUGAACAUCUAUACCACAAAUGGAAAGGCACCCAUAUUUGUAAAAGAAACAUUAUCAAAGCUCAAAACACACAUUGAUCCUCACACAAUAAUGGUGAGCAACUUAAACAUCCCACUCUCACCUAAUGGAUUAAUUAUGGAAACAGAAACUAAAUAGAGACACACUGAAACUAAUAGAACUUAUGAAACAAAUGGAUGCAACAGACAUCUACAGAACAUUUUACCCUAAAACAAAAGAAUUCAACUUCUCAGCAUCUAAUGGUACUUUCUUCAAAACUGACCAUACAAUUGAACAUAAAUAGAGACACACUGAAACUAAUAGAACUUAUGAAACAAAUGGAUGCAACAGACAUCUACAGAACAUUUUACCCUAAAACAAAAGAAUUCAACUUCUCAGCAUCUAAUGGUACUUUCUUCAAAACUGACCAUACAAUUGAACAUAAAACAAGACAUAACAUAUACAAGAACAUUGAGUUAAUCUUAUGUAUUCUACUGGACCACCACAGACUAAGGCUGGUCUUUAAGAACAACAAAAACAAUAGGAAGUCCACAUUUACACGGAAGCUGAACAACUAUCUACUCAAUGAUAGUUUGGUCCUGGAAGAAAUAAAGAAAGAAAUAAAAGACUUUUUAGAAUUUAAUGGAAAUUAAGAUAAAACAUACCCAAACUUAUGUGACACAAUGAAAGCAGUGCUGAGUGCCACAAUAAAGAAAUUGGAGCAUACACUAGCAGCUUAACAACACAUCUGAAUGAAUGAUCUAGAACAAAAAGAAGCAAAUACACCCAAAAGGAGUAGAUAGUAAGAAAUAAUCAAACUGAGGGCUGAAGUAAACAAAAAACAAACAAUGAGAACUAUACAAAGAAUCAAUAAAACCAGGAGCUGGUUCUGUGAGAAAAUCAACAAGAAAGAUAACCCCCUAGCCAUACUAACCAGAGGGCACAGAGACAGUAACCAAAUUAACAAAAUCAGAAAUGAAGAGGGAGACAACCACAGAAACUGAGGAAAUUAAAAAAAAAACAUCGGAUCCUACUACAAAAGCCUAUCCUCAACAAAACUGGAAAAUAUAGAUGAAAUGGAUGAUUUUCUACACAGAUACUAGAUACCAAAAUUAAAUCAGGAUCAGAUAAACCAUCGAAACAGUCCCAUAAUCCUUAAGGAAAUAGAAAAGUCUCCCAACCAAAAAUAGCCCAGGUCGAGAUGGGUUUAGUGCAGAAUUCUAUCAGACCUUUAAAGAAGACCUAAUACCAAUACUUAUCAAACUAUUUCAUAAAAUAGAAACAGAUGGAGCACUACAUAAUACAUUCUAAGAAGUCAAAGUUCUGAUAAUCAACUUCAGCAAAAUGGCUGGAUACACAAUUAUCUCAAAGAAAUCAAUAGCUUUUCUCUACUCAAAGUAUAAAUGGGCUGAGAAAGAAAUUAGGGAAACCACACCCUUCACAAUAGUCACAAAUAGUAUAAAAUACCUUGGUGUGACUCUCGCCAAACAAGUAAAAGUUCUGUAUGAAAAGAACUUCAAGUCUCUGAAGAAAGAAAUUGAAGAAGACCUCAGAAGAUGGAAAGAUCUAUCAUGCUAAUCAUGCAUGCAGUAAUCCAGUCACAAAUGAACAUACAUGGCAUAUACUCGCUGAUAACUGGAUAUUAGGCAAAAAGCUCAGAGUACCCAUGAUGCAACUCACAGACCAUAUGAAGCUUAAGAAGAAGGAAGACCAAAGUGUGGAUGCCUCAGUCCUACUCAGAAUGGUGAAGAAAAUAAUCAGGAGUGGUAGAGGGAGAAAAGAAUCUGGGAGGGAGAGAGGAGGGUCAGGGAACAAAGAGGGGCCUAUUCAGAUAAGGGAGGAGAUGGGGGAGAAGUACAGAGGGUCAGGAAUUUGAAAGGAGCAGAGUAGAAGUUGGGAAGGGGGAACUUGGGGUAGCUACUGGGAAGUCCCAGAUGCCAGGGACCCAAGAGUUUCCCAGGGCCCAACAGGAAACGUUAGCCAAAAUACUCAACUAAGGGCAGAUAGAACCUGUAGAGACCAUAUUCAGUGGAUAAGCAAGGCCCCCUGUUGUGGGAUGGAGUCAACCACCCACCUCAAAAAUAUUAAUCCAAAAUUACUCCUUUCAAAAGGAAAUGCUGGGACAAAGAGUGGAGCAGAGACUGAAGAAAAGGCCACCCAGAGACUGCCCCACCUAAGGAUCCAUCCCAUCUGAAGACAACAAACUCAGACACUAUUGCUGAUUCCAAGAAGUGCUUGUUGAGCAUGCUAUAGCUGUCCCCUAAGAAACUGUGCUAGAGUCUGAUCAAUACAAAUGCAGACGCAAGCAGCCGAACAUCAAACUGAGCAUGGAGACCCCACUGGAGAAGUUAGGGCAAGGAAUGAAAGAGCUGAAGGGAUUUACAAUCCUAUAGAAAGAACAACCAUAUAAACCAACAAAAUCACCCGGAGUCCCCAGGCACUAAACUACCAACUGGGCCCAUGGCUUGAGUAGGAUAUGUAGUGGAGGAUGGCCUUAUAGGGCAUCAAUGGGAGGAGAGGCUUUUGUUCCUGUGGAAGCUUGAUGACCUAGGGUAGAGGAAUGCUAAGACACUGAAGCAGAGUGAGUGGGUGGAUGGGGGAGCACUCCCAUAGUGACAGGGCAGGGGGUAGGAGAUAAGGGUAGGGCUUAGGGGUUGUGGAGGGCAAACUGGGAAGGAGGAUAACACUUGAAAUGUCAAUAAAUAAAUUAACCAAUAAGAAUAAAUAAAAUGU